AUGGCAUAAGCCAGCUUGACUGCGAGCGUGACGGCGCGAGCAGGUGCGAAAGCAGGUCAUAGUGAUCCGGUGGUUCUGAAUGGAAGGGCCAUCGCUCAACGGAUAAAAGGUACUCCGGGGAUAACAGGCUGAUACCGCCCAAGAGUUCAUAUCGACGGCGGUGUUUGGCACCUCGAUGUCGGCUCAUCACAUCCUGGGGCUGAAGUAGGUCCCAAGGGUAUGGCUGUUCGCCAUUUAAAGUGGUACGCGAGCUGGGUUUAGAACGUCGUGAGACAGUUCGGUCCCUAUCUGCCGUGGGCGCUGGAGAACUGAGGGGGGCUGCUCCUAGUACGAGAGGACCGGAGUGGACGCAUCACUGGUGUUCGGGUUGUCAUGCCAAUGGCACUGCCCGGUAGCUAAAUGCGGAAGAGAUAAGUGCUGAAAGCAUCUAAGCACGAAACUUGCCCCGAGAUGAGUUCUCCCUGACUCCU
rnacentral:rRNA from 1 species